rnacentral:rRNA from 1 species
AUUGAACGCUGGCGGCAUGCUUUACACAUGCAAGUCGAACGGUAACAGGUUAAGCUGACGAGUGGCGAACGGGUGAGUAAUGCAUCGGAACGUGCCCGAUCGUGGGGGAUAACGCAGCGAAAGCUGCGCUAAUACCGCAUACGAUCUGAGGAUGAAAGCGGGGGACCGUAAGGCCUCGCGCGAUCGGAGCGGCCGAUGUCAGAUUAGGUAGUUGGUGGGGUAAAGGCUCACCAAGCCAACGAUCUGUAGCUGGUUUGAGAGGACGACCAGCCACACUGGGACUGAGACACGGCCCAGACUCCUACGGGAGGCAGCAGUGGGGAAUUUUGGACAAUGGGCGAAAGCCUGAUCCAGCAAUGCCGCGUGCAGGAAGAAGGCCUUCGGGUUGUAAACUGCUUUUGUACGGAGCGAAAAGGCUCUCUCUAAUACGGGGGGCUCAUGACGGUACCGUAAGAAUAAGCACCGGCUAACUACGUGCCAGCAGCCGCAGUAA